CUCCAUGUGCUCAUUCCCGUGGUUUAUAUUCAGCGUCUGAUGAUAGCUAACCAUUUUUGUGAAGCCUGGAGCAUAAUAGGUAUUAAGAGCUCAAGUCUUCUGAUGCAUCUGCUAUUUGUUUUCCCUCCCCACUAAUUAGCGGGUCUCCAUUCUCCUUUGUCUUGCUCCUAAUGUAUUGGUGAAAUAUUGUCUGGCUGCCCUUUGUUUCUCUUGCUGGUUGCAUCUCCUAUUGUUGCGCUCCUGCUUCCCGGCCGUCGUUCCCAUGUUACACACGCCCUGUUCUCUUAGCCUUGCCUUUAGCGCAGUGCCCUCAUUUUCCCUCUGCGUGUCAUUUCAUCCUGGCAGCUUAAAACCCAGUGUGGGCUUUGCUUUCCCUAGAAUCAUUGGCUGGGUGAAUGCUUCAGGACAGAUUCCUAAGCACUGGAGAAUAGGAAUAUUUGGCUUUGUGGUCUCUAGCGCCUAACACAAAAUCUAAACCAUUCCAGUAUGUUCUGGAAAGCUGACCUACCCGGACCCAGCAGCCUGGACUUCUUGCCACGGUGUGACGUCAUGGUCUGGGCAUUCUAUGAUGUUCAGUGGAAGCCUGUGUUGAGUUCAGUGGAUGUUGGACAAGGCGUCAGGCCCAGAAGUCUCGUACCAGGAAGGCCAAAAAGGAGUCAGCUGGCUAAGGUGUGGGCUCCAGGCUCAGACAGCCUGUGCUUAAGCUGGUUCCCCUUCUUCCUCCUCCCACCAGUUACUUUCUUCUCCGCCUGGAUGCUUGGAUCCAAGUGCCAUUGUCCGCAAGCUGCACCACGCUUCAGCUGCUGGAUUAAGGAUGCUCCCAAUAACACUUGCCUAUGACCAGGGAUGGUGAGGCUUGAAUGCAAUCUCUCACAGUGGCAAUUCUCAAUCACGGUCAGAUAUUAUGCUACUGGUCCUUGUUUCACGGGAAAACACGACUUUGGCCACACCUUAAUUCACGAAUGCAUCUGUGCACUUCCCCCCCGGGAGUUCUAGCAGUCAGCGACGAGCCAGGGUGAUGUUAAGAGCAAGGUUCUCUCCAAGAGUGGAAACGUGGCCAGGGUGGCAGACACCUGGAGAGGCUCCAUGCAAAACGCAGGCUUCCCAGCCUGGGCUUAUUCCAUCUUGGUGAAUGAAGAGUCUCGUCCAGGCGAGAGGCUUCUGAGAGGGGUAUGGUGUAGCGGAACGAAUGGUUCAUCUGGGACCCGGAGGAGACUGUCCCCUGCCCAAUUUCAGAGGGGUCAAGGGAGAAAACCAUGUUCGGCAAAGGUGAGUUUCUCUCUCCCUUCUCUCUCUCUAACGCUGCCAAAUAUUUAUUUUCUGCCAUCUUCUCUCCCCAGAUCUACGGACGUAAUUUACACAGGACCCCCGAGGGUAAUUAAGCCAGCAAUUCCCUUGCCAGUGAAAUGAGACAAGCCAGCUCUCAGGAAAUUCUGAAUUCUACUACGGACACUGCAGAAACCGAACUAAAAACAGCUGCAGUUUAUCUGUGCAGCCGAAUUGACUAUAAUAUGCUGCUACCCGCACACUUAGCACAUAGCAAUCAGUGUACAGAAGCACAGAAUUUUAAGAUGAUGAAUGUUUUAUUUCUUAAAAUAAACAGUAGCAAUUUAGAAACA
rnacentral:lncRNA from 1 species